rnacentral:sRNA from 1 species
AAAAUGCCCGCGUUAAGGAUUGAAGCGGUUAUCCUUUUGCAAAGCGCAGCGGAGCAAAAGAUAAAAGCGGAAAGCCUGACCCGCA